rnacentral:rRNA from 1 species
AACACAUGCAAGUCGAGCGAGGCGGAAGGGGCAAUCCUUCCAGUCGAGCGGCGGACGGGUGAGUAACACGUGGGUAACCUGCCCGGAAGUGGGGAAUACCUCGGAGAAAUUCGAGCUAAUACCGCAUGACAUCUUUGGACGAAAGUCCUGACGAUCAAAGCGGGGUCGCAAGAUCUCGCGCUACCGGAUGGGCCCGCGCCCGAUUAGCUAGUUGGUGAGGUAAUGGCUCACCAAGGCUUCGAUCGGUAACCGGCCUGAGAGGGCGAUCGGUCACACCGGAACUGAGACACGGUCCGGACUCCUACGGGAGGCAGCAGUGGGGAAUCUUGCGCAAUGGGCGAAAGCCUGACGCAGCAACGCCGCGUGGAGGAUGAAGGCCCUUGGGUUGUAAACUCCUGUCGGCUGGGAAGAAAUCGAUCGUGGCUCAUACCCACGGUCGUUGACUGUACCAGCAAAGGAAGCCCC